CCUACGAGAGGCAGCAGUGAGGAAUAUUGCUCAAUGGGCGGAAGCCUGAACCAGCCAAGUAGCGUGCGGGAUGAAGGCCCUACGGGUUGUUAACCGCUUUUGCACGGGGAUAACACCCUCCACUUGUGGAGGUCUGCAGGUACCGUGCGAAUAAGGGCCGGCUAAUUCCGUGCCAGCAGCCGCGGUAAUACGGAAGUCCCGAGCGUUAUCCGGAUUCAUUGGGCUUAAAGGGAGCGUAGGCGGGCGUGAAAGUCAGCUGUAAAAUCGCGCGGCUCAACCGCGCCCCGCAGUUGACACUGGAAGCCUAGAGUUCACAACAGGCAGGCGGAAGUCGUGGUGUAGCGGUGAAAUGCAUAGAUAUCACGAGGAAGCCGGAUGGCGAAGGCAGCCUGCCGGGGUGCGACUGACGCUGAGGCUCGAAGGUGCGGGUAUCAAACAGGAUUAGAUACCCCAGUAGUC
rnacentral:rRNA from 1 species